GAUGAACGCUGGCGGCGUGCCUAAUACAUGCAAGUCGAGCGAACAGACGAGGAGCUUGCUCCUCUGACGUUAGCGGCGGACGGGUGAGUAACACGUGGAUAACCUACCUAUAAGACUGGGAUAACUUCGGGAAACCGGAGCUAAUACCGGAUAAUAUAUUGAACCGCAUGGUUCAAUAGUGAAAGACGGUUUUGCUGUCACUUAUAGACGGAUCCGCGCCGCAUUAGCUAGUUGGUAAGGUAACGGCUUACCAAGGCAACGAUGCGUAGCCGACCUGAGAGGGUGAUCGGCCACACUGGAACUGAGACACGGUCCAGACUCCUACGGGAGGCAGCAGUAGGGAAUCUUCCGCAAUGGGCGAAAGCCUGACGGAGCAACGCCGCGUGAGUGAUGAAGGUCUUCGGAUCGUAAAACUCUGUUAUUAGGGAAGAACAAAUGUGUAAGUAACUAUGCACGUCUUGACGGUACCUAAACAGAAAGCCACGGCUAACUACGUG
rnacentral:rRNA from 1 species